rnacentral:rRNA from 1 species
GAAUGACUCUCGGCAACGGAUAUCUAGGCUCUUGCAUCGAUGAAGAACGUAGCGAAAUGCGAUACUUGGUGUGAAUUGCAGAAUCCCGUGAACCAUCGAGUCUUUGAACGCAAGUUGCGCCCGAAGCCAUCAGGUUGAGGGCACGUCUGCCUGGGCGUCACAU